GUAGAUGCUGAUGUGUCCCGCGACCUGAGGCCUGUUUUGGAUUUUGGCCCCUUGUGCGACCGAGUUUGACACCGCUGGUCGAGAUGGUGGUAACCAUGGCAACAGCAAGACAAACACAGAACCGCGUCUAUAAAGAGCUGAGAGCAGGACUGAGUCACGGCUCCUCCAGGAGUCCUGACCGCUCCUCAACCCCGCCGGGCCCUUCGGUCACCUCCUCAGGGGCCGGACCGGCUCUGCUUCCGGAAACCUUCCCUCGUCGGCACGUGGUCGGCUGAUCCGCCUGCAGCUGGAAACCAUUCCGCCUCUCUGCGGCGGGCGAGGCUCCAGGAUUAGACGCACAAAGAAGACCCCCCCCCCCACUCUGGGAACGUGAUCACCUUUCUGUGGGCGGGGCCACAGGGACAAAGACAGGAGGGGGGGUCGCAUGGACCAACAAAAGGAUCCAUUGCUGGAGGAUCCACUGACAGCCGUAGAUUGGGUUUCACGGCAUUGGCCGAGUGUGACCGCCCCCUCCAGUCUGGGGGGGUCCGAGGUGCCGCCCAGGCUGCUGCAGGGCCGCCGGUUCACCUGUGACAGGUCAGCGCCGCCCUGCAGGUCAGGCAGGAAUGGAAAUGCGCUUCCUCAAAGCCGACGGUUUACCUGCAGCCGGACACGAACCGGCGGCACAAACGGCUCAGCGAGCUUCACCGGAGCGCGGCGAGGACGUCUGAGGGAAACUCCUCGUUUCACUGAAGCUUCGGAACACGUUUCAGCUGAAGGUCUCUCUCCAUCUUCUGAUCUCAAAGGUCGACUCGGUUAUGGUGAAGCCGUUUUUAGCCAAAAUCCUCAAACGUGUCGUUUUCUGGGAUAUAGGUUCUGCAGAGCGGCAGGAGCUCGUCAGAAAUUGGCACGGAGCAACCCCGCCCCCACUUCCCCUCCCCGUUCCUGAGAGCAGAGGAGGAGAUAACAGUUUGAGACCCUCUGCAGACUUUGUGGUCAUUAUUUUAAAUCCUUUUCGAGGUUAAACUGCUGAAUAACUUCCUUAUCGGUUCACUUAGAGACCGUCAAUGUCCAGAAUCCAAAUGUUUGACAAACGUUUAAAAUAUAAAAUCACAUUCAAACGGUAAAUAAAUGUAGAUUUCUUUUACUUUGAAAAAACAUUAAAAUUAUUGAUCACCUAAUUUAUGAAUCCCUCACUUCCUAGUAGGAUUAAAUAUAAUCUUCUGUAUUUUCUUAAAUCUCAAGUUCUGCUAAGAAAGGUAAAAUAAACAAAUAUACUUAAUAAAAACAGUAUUCUACCCA